rnacentral:rRNA from 1 species
GCGUUGCUCGGAAUCACUGGGCGUAAAGGGCGCGUAGGCGGCCAUUCAAGUUGGGGGUGAAAGCCUGGGGCUCAACCACAGAACUGCCUUCGAUACUGUUCGGCUUGAGUUUGGUAGAGGUUGGUGGAACUGCGAGUGUAGAGGUGAAAUUCGUAGAUAUUCGCAAGAACACCAGUGGCGAAGGCGGCCAACUGGACCAACACUGGCGCUGAGGCGCGAAAGCGUG